rnacentral:Y_RNA from 1 species
GACUGGUCCAAGUGCAGUGGUGUUUACAACUAAUUAAUCACAACCAGUUACAGAUCUCUUUGUUCUUUUUCUUCCUGCUUCACUUGACUAGCCUAAA